CAGGGUUUUACCGUGUUCGCCAAGAUGGUCUCGAUCUCCUGACCUCUUCGUCCGCCCGCCUUGGCCUCCCAAAGUGCUGGGAUUAGAGGCGUGAGCCACCGCGCCCGGCCGGUCCACUAAUUCUUUUAAACUCUGUAAGGCAUUUUUUUUUCCUGUUUAAAUAUAUAUCGACAUUAGAUAGCUUUGGCUGUGGCAAAGAGGACCUGCUAUUGUAGGUCUGUGGGCUGGCAGUGACUGGGCGGGGCUCAUCUGAGAUUGGCGGGGCUCGGCUCUGUGCCAUGUACUGUCUCAUUCCGGAACAUGGACGGAAGGCGGGGUCGCUGUUGGGCAUGCUGUUCUCAGGAGGGCAAGCAAAGCUCUGGGGCACUGCUUCUGAAAGCCUCUGCUCACAAUCGGCAGCUGACACCUGCAGACAAUCUCCACUGUUGCAAGCUUGUAUGAAGUUGCUGAUAUCCUGUACUCAGAGCCCACUUCACGUUAAUGGAAACUAGAAUAAUUUUUAAAAACAACUUAAAUGAAAGAACUGUAAGUUUUGAUGUUAUAAGUGCUUCUCUCAAGAUGUUUUCAAGUCUUCUCUAAGGACAAGUAACAAUACACUUCAUCUACAAGAGUUUCCAAUAUUUUUAGUGUAACCAGUAACAGUGACAGCGACAUAAUGAAAACAAUCAUCUUGAAAAGAAGAACAGAAAUUUGUAAAGAAUAUGUGUUUUCUUCUAUUUAAUUUUCCAGAUUAUUCUCUGAAGGACAUACUUAAAACUAAAAGAUGUUGGAUCUCCAAUAUGAAUUUGUGGGAUGUCUGGACACAGACAGAUACACAGGAAGAACAUCACAUAAACAAGAAGACAGAGAUUGGGGUAAUGUUUCUACAAGUCAAGGAUUAACAAAGAUUGCCUGCAAACCACAGAAACCAGGAAAGAGGCCUCAAAGAGAUUCUCACUCACACCCUCAGGAGGAACCAACCUUGCUGACCUUAAUCUCGGACUUCUGGUCUCCCGAAUUGUGAGAAAAUAAAUUUCUGUUGUUUCAGCAAUUCAGUGUAUGGUACUUUGUUACAGGAGCCCUAACACAACAUGAACGACUGAAUCUGCAGAAAUUUAAUUCUGUUUUCGGAUCUAAACACUGGAAAAUUGAACAAAGGUAGAAGAUUCAGAGGCCACAAAGGCAGUGGAACACUUUGAGUAAAGAGCGUGGGCAUCGAAAUUGAAUAUUCCUUCUAUUUUCUGGAAAAAC
rnacentral:lncRNA from 1 species